GUUUCAAUCCCCUCAUAGGUAGGCUACAAAC
rnacentral:other from 1 species